CAGGUGUCAGGUGUCAAGUGCCAACACAAAAAGCUGGAAGAAAAGAAGACUAAUAACUCUUAGAGUGGACAGUAGAAGACGUCAGCGAUCCAACCUGUGAGACAUGACGGACGCCAGGCGAGAGACAAGCCACUAACAGGCUGUGAUUCUGGGCUGAACUAGUCACACCGUCGGUCCAGCUGCUUCUCCUGCCGCCUCGAGCAGCAGACGCACAUUCUCCCAGAGGUCCGAGCAGCCCAGCGGUGUCCUGAAGUUCCCAGGACUGCGGGAUGCGUUGUGACAGACUUUAAAUGUGAGGAAGAGGAGCCCACGUCACCCAUCACCUCUGUGAGAUGAAAAGCCCCGAAAGCAGCCCGCCACCCUGCUGGACACAGCUCAGCUGUUAUAAGAAGUGUUUGACAGGAGUGGCAGAACAAGCUGAUGACGGUGAAUCAGAAACCCCAAAAUGUUCUUGAAAUAGACUACAAGUGAUGCAUUCCCUGAGCCCUGUGAAUGAAGAGAAGUGAGAAAUGACACUGACCUGCUGCAGGGCUGGCUAAUAUAUCCAGGCUCCCAAAUGAUGGGAUGACCUUUCCACCUCGGCCAGGACUGCAGCGUCACUCGCAGCAUGAACUGGAAACUCAUCUCCUCGCUAAACACUUCGCAUCGCUCUCAACUCUGCCUUCCUCCUCCACUUGCAUCUGAUUUGAAUCCGGCUUUACACGAAAGGUCAGAAUUCUAUAGUCUUGGGAUCCAUCAUAUUUUCAAUAUUUAUAGCACCACAUACAACCAUUACCAUUUGUCAUGUAAGCAGAGCAGGGUACUCAGGAAUUUCAUUUUACUCGCACAGUACUCUUGAUAGCAGGAUUCUACUCAUCCUAACUGGACACAUAUAAAUAUCUAUUUUCAGUGAAACAUUUUGUUGCUGUGUAAAGACUGA